UGCACAUUGUGCACAUGUGCAUGUAUUUUCUAGUCAACAUUCCGUUAUUCUUAUCAGUGACCUAUGCCACGUUUUCCAUAAUCACUUGGACGGGGUGUGCCUCUGUAAGACCUGGAGAAACAUUUCGUUCUCGUUGACAUUCAAUUAUCAUUUUUUGUGUCUGUCGACCUGUUUCA
ensembl:ncRNA ZK546.20 ncRNA